GUGAAUCAUCGAAUCUUUGAACGCAAAUUGCACUCUCCUCGGAGAGUAUGCCUGUUUGAGGGUCAGCCUAAAAAAAAUCGACAUCGUUGCUGUUUCGCGGUGGCGUUCGUCGGAAAUUGGGUUAUCUUAAAUCUUUGGGUUAAGCGACUUAAAAUUUUCUCUACGAUUUUAUCUGCGUGUCUAUGAGAUUUGUCUUUACACGCGUAAA
rnacentral:misc_RNA from 1 species